GUUACAACACAAUGAUUAGACUGACAGCUUGGCUUGAGAUCCUAGGAGAAAAAUAAUUGACUAGGGGCUAAGAGACUUGAGGGGAACUAGCCCACUUCUGAUGCUGCAUGACUGAGAAGAAGUAGUAUCAUAGAAUCAUGGUACUUUAAAGCUGGAGAGAAACAUCUCAAAAAUAAGCAACCUGGACCAGAGAUUAAACUCCAGGUCUGAGAGCCAGAUAACAGCCCUCCUCAAGAUAACCAGUCAAGUUUGGCACUGCAGGCCCUGAGCCAUUUUGGUCCACCCUGCUUUGACCCCACCCCUUGUCCACAUCAGCUCCUGUGAAGCCACCCCAGAAGAAAACCACUAUUCGUUCACAUUGGCUGAUUGAUGCUCCAUACGUCCAAACCUUCCAGUCCUCAAGAAACAAGUAUGGCUGAGUUCUGGGUAAAAGUGGAGAACAUGACCCUCUCCUCACUCUGUGCCAUGUUUUAUAUAAGAAAUAAAUUAAAAGUAUAUAAAAACACAUGUG
ensembl:lncRNA novel transcript